UACAAGUACCGUGAGGGAAAGUUGCAAAGCACUUUGAAGAGAGAGUUAAAGAGGACGUGAAACCGGUGAGGUGGAAACGGAUAGAGUCGGCGUAUCUUGCAAGUAUUCAUUUUUUUUUCUGUUAUAUUAUUUUAUCGCUGAGCUCCAGAUUGGGCAGUGUAAAAUUUUAUGAUUGAAUUUGAUGCAUUUACUUGCUUGGUGCGUGGGGUUGUUUGAGACAGAUUUGUGACCACUAUUUUGAGGCCAGCUUUGCUGGUACCCAAAUUGUGUUAGCAUUUUUUGUUUUGAAUAUAUUUACAUAGAAUAUGGCUUACGGGCAUUAUUUGGUUUGAUUUGGAUGUAAGUUACGGUCGCAUGCGACACGUGCUUUUCAAUCAGAUCGGUCCAUUUAAUGCUCUCAUACUCUUUCCCCAUGUAAAAGCCGGUCAUCUAUCCGACCCGUCUUGAAACACGGACCAAGGAGUUUAUCGUGUGCGCAAGUUAUUGGGUGUUUAAAACCUAAAAGCGAAAUGAAAGUAAAUGGCUCUUAAGAGUCUGAUGUGCGAUUUCUUUUUUUUUUUGAAAAGGAAGCAGCAUGGCCCCAUUCUAAUUGUUUACAAUAGGGUGGCGGAAGAGCGUMCVGGUNNGAGACCCGAAAGAUGGUGAACUAUUCCUGAGCAGGACGAAGCCAGAGGAAACUCUGGUGGAAGUCCGAAGCGGUUCUGACGUGCAAAUCGAUCGUCUGACUUGGGUAUAGGGGCGAAAGACUAAUCGANCCAUNUAGUAGCUGGUUCCUUCCGAGGAA
rnacentral:rRNA from 1 species